rnacentral:tRNA from 1 species
GCCGCCGUGGGUCGGCCCGCUCGACGUCGUCGUCGUCGCGGGCGACGACGCGGGCGACCCGCAGCUCGCCGAGUCGGUCGCCGCGGCCCUGCGGCGC